UAGGGAAUCUUCGGCAAUGGACGGAAGUCUGACCGAGCAACGCCGCGUGAGUGAAGAAGGUUUUCGGAUCGUAAAGCUCUGUUGUUAGAGAAGAACGUUGGUAGGAGUGGAAAAUCUACCAAGUGACGGUAACUAACCAGAAAGGGACGGCUAACUACGUGCCAGCAGCCGCGGUAAUACGUAGGUCCCGAGCGUUGUCCGGAUUUAUUGGGCGUAAAGCGAGCGCAGGCGGUUCUUUAAGUCUGAAGUUAAAGGCAGUGGCUUAACCAUUGUACGCUUUGGAAACUGGAGGACUUGAGUGCAGAAGGGGAGAGUGGAAUUCCAUGUGUAGCGGUGAAAUGCGUAGAUAUAUGGAGGAACACCGGUGGCGAAAGCGGCUCUCUGGUCUGUAACUGACGCUGAGGCUCGAAAGCGUGGGGAGCAAACAGGAUUAGAUACUCUGGUAGUCCACGCCGUAAACGAUGAGUGCUAGGUGUUAGGCCCUUUCCGGGGCUUAGUGCCGCAGCUAACGCAUUAAGCACUCCGCCUGGGGAGUACGACCGCAAGGUUG
rnacentral:rRNA from 1 species